rfam:Schistosoma curassoni strain Dakar, Senegal genome assembly, scaffold: SCTD_contig0000527
AUCCGGAAGAAAAGUCUUGAAUAGGACGAAACGUUCGUCCUGGAU